AAUUGUAUCUGUGUAAUGUUAAAACAAAUGAAAUAAAAUAGAAGGAAAAACUUUCUGAGUUUCAAAAACAACAGACCAGUAGUCUAAAGAACUUUUUAAAACAAUUAACUGUUAGGAUUGCAGUUAUGAUUGGAUAUUAUUUAAUUAUGUUUCUGAUGUGGGGUUCCUCCACUGUGUUCUGUGUGCUAUUAAUAUUUACCAUUGCAGAAGCUUCAUUCAGUGUUGAAAAUGAAUGCUUAGUGGAUCUGUGCCUCCUAUGCAUAUGUUACAAAUUAUCUGGAGUUCCUAAUCAACGCGGAGUUCCCUCCCCUCCAAUUGUUCUAAAUAAUUGAAAGAUGUCUGCUGUGGAAAAAGGCAUGUAUUUAAAUCUGUAUGAUUCUCAACUAUUUUUAGUUGGGAAAAGUCCUUGAAAGCCAAUGGAAAUACUUUUUUUUUUCUUGGCACUAAUCAAGUGAGUGUUACCUUUUCACUUAGUAGGAUGUGUUGUUACUCUAGUAAAAUAGAAACCUGUGUUUAUUCUCAGGUAUUUUAGAAACAACAGCCAUCAUUUUAUUUUAUGUGUGUGUUCUUGGCUGUAUUCAUAAAUUAUAUAUUUUGGGCUAUCAAAUAUUACUUCAUUUCAAUAUAAAUAACAAUAGUAGAAGUUGUUUACUUAGAUAUGCUUUCUAGUUGCAUUUUCUCAGCCUAUGUAAGACUACGUUGUUGUAAUAGCCUUUGAAAUUUAUAGUACUGUCUCUCUACUAUCUUCAGAUUACUUGAUUCAAAUAAACCAAUUAUGUUUGUAAUUGAUAUUAAUAAAACCAGAAUAAAAGUUCAUAUCUACCC
rnacentral:sRNA from 1 species